AUUGAACGCUGGCGGCAUGCCUUACACAUGCAAGUCGAACGGUAACGGGCCUUCGGGUGUCGACGAGUGGCGAACGGGUGCGUAAUACAUCGGAACGUGCCCGAUCGUGGGGGAUAACGAGGCGAAAGCUUAGCUAAUACCGCAUACGAUCUACGGAAGAUAGCCGGGGUCUGCAAGACAUUGCGCGGACGGUGCGGUCGAUGCUAGAUUAGGUAGUUGGUGGGGUAACAGCUUACCAAGCCGACGAUCUGUAGCUGGUCUGAGAGGAUGAUCAGCCACACUGGAACUGAGACACGGCCCAGACUCCUACGGGAGGCAGCAGUGGGGAAUUUUGGACAAAGGGCGCAAGCCUGAUCCAGCCAUGCCGCGUGCGGGAUGAAGGCCUUCGGGUUGUAAACUGCUUUUGUACGGAACGAAAAGCCUUCUUUUAAUACAGGAGGGUCAUGACGGUACCGGAAGAAUAAGCACCGGCUAACUACGUG
rnacentral:rRNA from 1 species